UCCCAACACCUGAGUCCUCCUGUCAA
rnacentral:misc_RNA from 1 species